GGGAAUGUAGUUCAGUGGUAGAGCACUUGCCUAGCAUGUAUGAGAUCCUAGGUUUGACCCCAGCACCCCCA
rnacentral:tRNA from 1 species